UGACCUCGGAUCAGGUAGGAAUACCCGCUGAACUUAAGCAUAUCAAAAAGGGGGGGAGGAA
rnacentral:rRNA from 1 species